GAGUUUGAUCCUGGCUCAGAUUGAACGCUGGCGGCAUGCCUUACACAUGCAAGUCGAACGGCAGCACGGGUGCUUGCACCUGGUGGCGAGUGGCGAACGGGUGAGUAAUGCGUCGGAACGUACCGAGUAAUGGGGGAUAACGCGGCGAAAGUCGCGCUAAUACCGCAUACGCCCUGAGGGGGAAAGUGGGGGAUCGCAAGACCUCACGUUAUUUGAGCGGCCGACGUCUGAUUAGCUAGUUGGUGGGGUAAAGGCCUACCAAGGCGACGAUCAGUAGCGGGUCUGAGAGGAUGAUCCGCCACACUGGGACUGAGACACGGUCCAGACUCCUACGGGAGGCAGCAGUGGGGAAUUUUGGACAAUGGGCGCAAGCCUGAUCCAGCCAUUCCGCGUGAGUGAAGAAGGCCUUCGGGUUGUAAAGCUCUUUCAGCUGGAACGAAACGGUACGCUCUAACAUAGCGUGCCAAUGACGGUACCGGCAGAAGAAGCACCGGCUAACUACGUGCCAGCAGCCGCGGUAAUACGUAGGGUGCGAGCGUUAAUCGGAAUUACUGGGCGUAAAGCGUGCGCAGGCGGAUUGUUAAGCAAGACGUGAAAGCCCCGGGCUUAACCUGGGAAUGGCGUUUUGAACUGGCAGUCUAGAGUGCGUCAGAGGGGGGUGGAAUUCCACGUGUAGCAGUGAAAUGCGUAGAGAUGUGGAGGAACACCAAUGGCGAAGGCAGCCCCCUGGGAUGACACUGACGCUCAUGUACGAAAGCGCGGGUAGCAAACAGGAUUAGAUACCCUGGUAGUCCACGCCCUAAACGAUGUCAACUGGUUGUUGGGGGGAGUGAAAAUCCCUUAGUAACGAAGCUAACGCGUGAAGUUGACCGCCCUGGGGAGUACGGUCGCAAGAUUAAAACUCAAAAGGGAUUGACGGGGCCCGCACAAGCAGCGGGAGCAUGUGGUUUAAUUCGAAGCAACGCGAAGAACCUUACCUAGACUUUGACAUCCUCCUGAAUUACUCUUAAUCGAGGAAGUUACUUCGGGUAACAGGAAGACAGGUGGGUGCAUGGUUUGUCGUUCAGCCUCGGUGUCGUGAGAUGUUGGGAUUAAGUUCCCGCAAACGAGCGCAACCCUUAUUUGUUUAGUUGCCUACCAUUUAGUGAGCACUCUUAGCGAGAACUGGCCCCGGGGUUACGGGAGGAAGGGUGGGGGAGUGAGCGUCACAAUUCAUUCAGUGCCCUCUAUAGUCCUAUGAGGGCCUACUACUACCACACCGGGUGCCUCA
rnacentral:rRNA from 1 species